UCUCCUUUUGUGUGCUCAGGUUCCUGAUGUGUGAUGGUGGCCGUGGCCGGCUGUGACGGGCGUUGCCGAUUGCCUCUCGUGUCCUAUUAGAAACCAGGAGGACCGACCUAACUCCAGCUGCUGGAGCAGCGCACCGUCGGCAGCAGCAGCCUCAUGGGCCUCAGGACAUACUAGACCCCAGCCUCCAUCACACAUCGAGUCCCCCCCCUCCCCGAAAGUCCCUCCAAAUGUUUUUUAUACUGUUACGUAAAUUUACAGGCAGCGCUUGGCUACACCUCCUCUGACACCUCCGUGAAAGGUACCAGGCAUGCACAACAAAGGCGUCCGCGCUCUUUGUUUACCGACUGACUGCAUCGCCCGCCUAGCUGGUCUCUGCAUCCUCUCCGUGCGGGUUUAAAGCCGGCCACCUUAAAGGAGUGCAAACGUUGUUUUAUGCAGCCACUUUGCAGACGCCCGGAAGUGUGGCUAAAGUGCUACUGAGUAAUGUUAUUAUAUGACUAUAAUUAUUACUAUUCUGUAUAUCAUUCAUAUUAAUGUUAUUAUGAUUAUGGAAUUACAUGUUGACGCAUGACUUUGCAAAAAAAACAAAAAAAAAUAGAGCGUGAGAGAGAAAACAACGAAAAAACAAUGCUGUACAUUUUUAGAUAUUUUAAAGAAAUACAAAAAGGUAUUUUUGUAAUCAAGACAAUGUUUGAAACGGUUUUGUUUGGGUUGAUUUAUGUUGUGCUAAAUCUCGUGAGGACGUUUUAUACCUUUUCUGUUUUUUGUUCCCUUUCUGUUCGGUGCCAUUUUAAAACAAGUCGCCCUGCUAUACCAAAGCAGUCCUGCCACUUUGCUCUUGUCUCUGCUCCAAAAGGAAUUUUGAUUCGCUCAUAUGUGUCGUUUUUUUUUUUUUUUUUUGUCCCUCUGUGGCGUCUUUACCCGACGAAACGAAACACAGAAGUCUUUUGUCUGAAGCGAUUUUAACGUUGAGUGACAAAACGCACCUGAUCCGGCUCGUAGUUUGGCUGUUUGAGGUAAUCAGAUGUGUGAAAAGAGGCACUGACAGGAAAAAGCCAUCGCCGGUGGAAGGUAGCGUGACCCCAAUGUCACGUAUAGCGUGAUGGCAAUACGCGGCAAACUGAGCUCUGCUAUAAUUAGGAAAUCGCUCCUUCGCUGUGUAGCAGGAGGACAGCAGCACAGUAUAGAGAAACAAGACCAAAGCUUUUUUUUCUUUUUGCUUUUUUUACACUGGAGAGCUAUCUAGGCUAGUGGUUAUUCCAUUUUUGACUACUUUUGUAGUCCUCAGUCUGAUUUCUUAUGAAGUAUGACAUUAUUUUUGCAGCAUGUCCCUUUUGGUGUCACUCCAAAGAGCCACUCUGCAUCUGAAAGGAUAUUCACUUUAAGCGAUUUGUGUCUUUUGUCUAUUUUUAGGGAGCCGCUGUGAUUCAACCUGCUUUUGUAAAGUUUGAAUUUACAUAAUAAUGAUUGGAGUGAGAUGUAUAAAAAAAAAGGAAAAGAUAAAACAAUCUUUUGUAAUCUUGCAAUAACGUCUUUGCUGUAUGACAUAUCAUCGAGUGAUCAUAUUUCUGUGACACCGUGACGCCAAAAUUCAUUCGCUAAUACGAAACCAGUCUCCGAAGGCCAAGUCGCAUUUCACGCUGAUGUGACAAUCAAAUGCCGUAAGGAGACAAGUGUCCCCUGUGAUGUUUAGCCCCUCUGUGUACACUUAUAUCGGACUGGUUGAAUCAUACAGUAGCCAAGUGUUUGUAAUUAAUGAUAAUAUGCAUCAUAUCUAUUAAAUCAGCUGAAGGGUUUUUUUUGUUUUUGUUUUUAUUUUUGCUUUUACAGACAUUUUUAAGCCGAGUGUGGCACUCAGAUUUAUUAGAACAAGUAUUUAUACAACGUGCGUGAAUGUUAUGUGUGUUUUUUAAUGGGUGUUGUCUUUUUAAGGUUCAUAGAAAAUGCCCAUCAUAUAAUUCAUUGUAAGUAUUAUUGUAAGUUUAAUUGUAUUUUCAUUUGGUAAGAAUUACUAGAGCUUUUUUCUUCGUUUGUAUCGGUCUGAUUGGAGCAUACUGUAUGUAACAUGUGAAUACUGUUUUACCUGCAUAAUUCACUGUGAAAUCCAGAGAAGAAGAAGAUGUACUCCUCGAACGAAUGGGUCUUUUGUGUUUCGCCAGCGGUACGGUACAAAAGUUCCUGAAAAAACGAAUAAGACGACUCCUCCCCCUCCUUUUGUCAGUGACAAAUCAUUUCUCUACUUGUUUUAGUAUACCGCGUGUGUAGCUGUGUGUUCAGUGCAUGUUCACGGCAUGUGUGUGUGCGUGUUCUUUUUCCUUUUUCCUAAUGCAUACAGUACUGUUGAUAUUUAUGUACUUUAGCCGCUGUAAGGAGAAACUGUAUUUCAGUGAAUUGCAGAGGUUUGUUUGUUUGAAACAAAAAAAAGGAGAUGAUCAAAAUGAGACGUUUUUAUGAAAAUGUUAAAUGAAGACAUUUCAGGCCAUCUGCCAUUAAAGAUUGACAUUAUC